CAGUCGCCGCGGGAAUACGUAGGGUGCGAGCGUUAAUCGGAAUUACUGGGCGUAAAGCGUGCGCAGGCGGUUUGUUAAGACAGAUGUGAAAUCCCCGGGCUUAACCUGGGAACUGCAUUUGUGACUGGCGGGCUAGAGUAUGGCAGAGGGGGGUAGAAUUCCACGUGUAGCAGUGAAAUGCGUAGAGAUGUGGAGGAAUACCGAUGGCGAAGGCAGCCCCCUGGGCCAAUACUGACGCUCAUGCACGAAAGCGUGGGGAGCAAACAGGAUUAGAUACCCGUGUAGUCCCUGUCUCUUAUAU
rnacentral:rRNA from 1 species